rnacentral:ribozyme from 1 species
GAGAGCCUUAUGAUGGGAAACUAUCACGUUAGGUUUGGAGAGAGAAAGAUGGUCUGGGGGAGCAGGAGCAAGCUUGUCCAAAGAACGGCUACAAUAUAAUUUAAUGGAGUAGGGAUGAGUGCAAAGAUUUUCCUUUUCUUUCUGU